rnacentral:tRNA from 1 species
UAGGUUGAAUCCAAAAGUUUAGGUGCUUAGCUGUUAACUAAGAAUUAGUAGGAUAAAUACCUUCCAACCUAG